rnacentral:rRNA from 1 species
GUUGGGUAGGGGAGCGUUCUGUAAGCCUGUGAAGGUGGCCUGUGAGGGUUGCUGGAGGUAUCAGAAGUGCGAAUGCUGACAUAAGUAACGAUAAAGCGGGUGAAAAGCCCGCUCGCCGGAAGACCAAGGGUUCCUGUCCAACGUUAAUCGGGGCAGGGUGAGUCGACCCCUAAGGCGAGGCCGAAAGGCGUAGUCGAUGGGAAACGGGUUAAUAUUCCCGUACUUGGUGUUACUGCGAAGGGGGGACGGAGAAGGCUAUGUUGGCCGGGCGACGGUUGUCCCGGUUUAAGCGUGUAGGUGUGUGUUCCAGGUAAAUCCGGUUCACUUUAACACUGAGGCGUGACGACGAGGCACUACGGUGCUGAAGCAACAAAUGCCCUGCUUCCAGGAAAAGCCUCUAAGCAUCAGGUAACAUCAAAUCGUACCCCAAACCGACACAGGUGGUCAGGUAGAGAAUACCAAGGCGCUUGAGAGAACUCGGGUGAAGGAACUAGGCAAAAUGGUGCCGUAACUUCGGGAGAAGGCACGCUGA